GGGUUGUGAGGUUAAGCGACUAAGCGUACACGGUGGAUGCCCUGGCAGUCAGAGGCGAUGAAGGACGUGCUAAUCUGCGAAAAGCGUCGGUAAGGUGAUAUGAACCGUUACAGCCGGCGAUGUCCGAAUGGGGAAACCCAGUGCAAUUCGUUGCACUAUCGUUAACUGAAUACAUAGGUUAACGAGGCGAACCGGGGGAACUGAAACAUCUAAGUACCCCGAGGAAAAGAAAUCAACCGAGAUUCCCCCAGUAGCGGCGAGCGAACGGGGAGCAGCCCAGAGUCUGAAUCAGCUUGUGUGUUAGUGGAACGGUCUGGAAAGUCCGACGGUACAGGGUGAUAGUCCCGUACACCAAAAUGCACAGGUUGUGAACUCGAAGAGUAGGGCGGGACACGUGGUAUCCUGUCUGAAUAUGGGGGGACCAUCCUCCAAGGCUAAAUACUCCUGACUGACCGAUAGUGAACCAGUACCGUGAGGGAAAGGCGAAAAGAACCCCGGCGAGGGGAGUGAAAAAGAACCUGAAACCGUGUACGUACAAGCAGUGGGAGCACCUUCGGGUGUGACUGCGUACCUUUUGUAUAAUGGGUCAGCGACUUAUAUUCUGUAGCAAGGUUAACCGUAUAGGGGAGCCGCAGGGAAACCGAGUCUUAACUGGGCGUUAAGUUGCAGGGUAUAGACCCGAAACCCGGUGAUCUAGCCAUGGGCAGGUUGAAGGUUGGGUAACACUAACUGGAGGACCGAACCGACUAAUGUUGAAAAAUUAGCGGAUGACUUGUGGCUGGGGGUGAAAGGCCAAUCAAACCGGGAGAUAGCUGGUUCUCCCCGAAAGCUAUUUAGGUAGCGCCUCGUGAACUCAUCUUCGGGGGUAGAGCACUGUUUCGGCUAGGGGGUCAUCCCGACUUACCAACCCGAUGCAAACUACGAAUACCGAAGAAUGUUAUCACGGGAGACACACGGCGGGUGCUAACGUCCGUCGUGAAGAGGGAAACAACCCAGACCGCCAGCUAAGGUCCCAAAGUCAUGGUUAAGUGGGAAACGAUGUGGGAAGGCACAGACAGCCAGGAUGUUGGCUUAGAAGCAGCCAUCAUUUAAAGAAAGCGUAAUAGCUCACUGGUCGAGUCGGCCUGCGCGGAAGAUGUAACGGGGCUAAACCAUGCACCGAAGCUGCGGCAGCGACACUAUGUGUUGUUGGGUAGGGGAGCGUUCUGUAAGCCUGCGAAGGUGUGCUGUGAGGCAUGCUGGAGGUAUCAGAAGUGCGAAUGCUGACAUAAGUAACGAUAAAGCGGGUGAAAAGCCCGCUCGCCGGAAGACCAAGGGUUCCUGUCCAACGUUAAUCGGGGCAGGGUGAGUCGACCCCUAAGGCGAGGCCGAAAGGCGUAGUCGAUGGGAAACAGGUUAAUAUUCCUGUACUUGGUGUUACUGCGAAGGGGGACGGAGAAGGCUAUGUUAGCCGGGCGACGGUUGUCCCGGUUUAAGCAUGUAGGCUGAUUGUCCAGGCAAAUCCGGAUAAUCAAGGCUGAGGUGUGAUGACGAGGCACUACGGUGCUGAAGUAACAAAUGCCCUGCUUCCAGGAAAAGCCUCUAAGCAUCAGGUAACAUUAAAUCGUACCCCAAACCGACACAGGUGGUCAGGUAGAGAAUACCAAGGCGCUUGAGAGAACUCGGGUGAAGGAACUAGGCAAAAUGGUGCCGUAACUUCGGGAGAAGGCACGCUGGUGUGUAGGUGAAGUCCCUGCGGAUGGAGCUGAGACCAGUCGAAGAUACCAGCUGGCUGCAACUGUUUAUUAAAAACACAGCACUGUGCAAACACGAAAGUGGACGUAUACGGUGUGACGCCUGCCCGGUGCCGGAAGGUUAAUUGAUGGGGUUAUCCGUAAGGAGAAGCUCUUGAUCGAAGCCCCGGUAAACGGCGGCCGUAACUAUAACGGUCCUAAGGUAGCGAAAUUCCUUGUCGGGUAAGUUCCGACCUGCACGAAUGGCGUAAUGAUGGCCAGGCUGUCUCCACCCGAGACUCAGUGAAAUUGAACUCGCUGUGAAGAUGCAGUGUACCCGCGGCAAGACGGAAAGACCCCGUGAACCUUUACUAUAGCUUGACACUGAACAUUGAGCCUUGAUGUGUAGGAUAGGUGGGAGGCUUUGAAGCGUGGACGCCAGUCUGCGUGGAGCCAACCUUGAAAUACCACCCUUUAAUGUUUGAUGUUCUAACGUUGGCCCCUGACCGGGGUUGCGGACAGUGUCUGGUGGGUAGUUUGACUGGGGCGGUCUCCUCCCAAAGCGUAACGGAGGAGCACGAAGGUUAGCUAAUCCUGGUCGGACAUCAGGAGGUUAGUGCAAUGGCAUAAGCUAGCUUGACUGCGAGCGUGACGGCGCGAGCAGGUGCGAAAGCAGGUCAUAGUGAUCCGGUGGUUCUGAAUGGAAGGGCCAUCGCUCAACGGAUAAAAGGUACUCCGGGGAUAACAGGCUGAUACCGCCCAAGAGUUCAUAUCGACGGCGGUGUUUGGCACCUCGAUGUCGGCUCAUCACAUCCUGGGGCUGAAGUAGGUCCCAAGGGUAUGGCUGUUCGCCAUUUAAAGUGGUACGCGAGCUGGGUUUAGAACGUCGUGAGACAGUUCGGUCCCUAUCUGCCGUGGGCGCUGGAGAAUUGAGGGGGGCUGCUCCUAGUACGAGAGGACCGGAGUGGACGCAUCACUGGUGUUCGGGUUGUCAUGCCAAUGGCACUGCCCGGUAGCUAAAUGCGGAAGAGAUAAGUGCUGAAAGCAUCUAAGCACGAAACUUGCCCCGAGAUGAGUUCUCCCUGAGACUUUAAGUCUCCUGAAGGAACGUUGAAGACGACGACGUUGAUAGGCCGGGUGUGUAAGCGCAGCGAUGCGUUGAGCUAACCGGUACUAAUGAACCGUGAGGCUUAACCUUACAACGCCGAAG
rnacentral:rRNA from 1 species